GGAGGAACAUUACCGAGUGUAGGGUUCCUAGCGAGCCCAACCUCCCACCCGUGUUUACUGUAACCUUAGUUGCUUCGGCGGGCCCGCCUUUAAGGCCGCCGGGGGGCAUCAGCCCCCGGGCCCGCGCCCGCCGGAGACACCACGAACUCUGUCUGAUCUAGUGAAGUCUGAGUUGAUUGUAUCGCAAUCAGUUAAAACUUUCAACAAUGGAUCUCUUGGUUCCGGCAUCGAUGAAGAACGCAGCGAAAUGCGAUAACUAGUGUGAAUUGCAGAAUUCCGUGAAUCAUCGAGUCUUUGAACGCACAUUGCGCCCCCUGGUAUUCCGGGGGGCAUGCCUGUCCGAGCGUCAUUGCUGCCCAUCAAGCACGGCUUGUGUGUUGGGUCGUCGUCCCCUCUUCGGGGGGGACGGGCCCCAAAGGCAGCGGCGGCACCGCGUCCGAUCCUCGAGCGUAUGGGGCUUUGUCACCCGCUCUGUAGGCCCGGCCGGCGCUUGCCGAACGCAAAACAACCAUUCUUUCCAGGUUGACCUCGGAUCAGGUAGGGAUACCCGCUGAACUUAAGCAUAUCAAU
rnacentral:rRNA from 1 species